rnacentral:rRNA from 1 species
CUGCUAUACAUGCAGUCGAGCGGACAGAAGGGAGCUUGCUCCCGGAUGUUAGCGGCGGACGGGUGAGUAACACGUGGGUAACCUGCCUGUAAGACUGGGAUAACUCCGGGAAACCGGAGCUAAUACCGGAUAGUUCCUUGAACCGCAUGGUUCAAGGAUGAAAGACGGUUUCCCCCUGUCACUUACAGAUGGACCCGCGGCGCAUUAGCUAGUUGGUGGGGUAAUGGCUCACCAAGGCGACGAUGCGUAGCCGACCUGAGAGGAUGAUCCGCACGACUGGGUUGUAGAC